AGAGUUUGAUCAUGGCUCAGGACGAACGCUGGCGGCGUGCUUAACACAUGCAAGUCGAGCGAAGCCCUCGCCUUCGGGUGGGGUGACUUAGCGGCGAACGGGUGAGUAACACGUGGGCAACCUGCCCUUAGCUCUGGGAUAAGCGAUGGAAACGUCGUCUAAUACUGGAUAUGACACGGGACGGCAUCUUCUCCGUGUGGAAAGAUUUUUCGGCUAAGGAUGGGCCCGCGGCCUAUCAGCUUGUUGGUGGGGUAAUGGCCUACCAAGGCUUCGACGGGUAACCGGCCUGAGAGGGCGACCGGUCACACUGGGACUGAGACACGGCCCAGACUCCUACGGGAGGCAGCAGUGGGGAAUAUUGCACAAUGGGCGAAAGCCUGAUGCAGCGACGCCGCGUGAGGGAUGACGGCCUUCGGGUUGUAAACCUCUUUCAGCAGGGACGAAGCGAAAGUGACGGUACCUGCAGAAGAAGCGCCGGCCAACUACGUGCCAGCAGCCGCGGUAAUACGUAGGGCGCAAGCGUUGUCCGGAAUUAUUGGGCGUAAAGAGCUCGUAGGCGGUUUAUCACGUCGGCUGUGAAAUCCCGAGGCUUAACCUCGGGCCUGCAGUCGAUACGGGUUGACUAGAGUGAAGCAGGGGAGACUGGAAUUCCUGGUGUAGCGGUGAAAUGCGCAGAUAUCAGGAGGAACACCGGUGGCGA
rnacentral:rRNA from 1 species